rnacentral:lncRNA from 1 species
CCAAACCAUCCUAAAAGCUACCCCACCUUCCUUGUGAAACUCUAAGUUGUAAGAAUCUUAAGUAUGUACACAAUCACCAUCAAAGUCAACCCCGAGUUUAAACCACAACAUACCUUACUUCAUGAAGUUAAUAAAAGAUAGAACCUUGUUUAGAUGAAUGUGGUCACAAUGCACUUUCAUUUUAGCAAUAAUCGUGCCUUGCAUCAUUCAUACAAAAGCAUGGAAAAAUCUGAACUCUCUGCAUAUGCAUGUCAUGUAGAAGCUAAUAUCACUGACGGAACCUAUGAGCUCCACCCUACGCUAGAAGAGGAACCCACUACAACACUACAUCAUGCGGAAGUUGAGCCCAAGCUAGAUCAAGACCCCGAGG